AACUGAUGCUUUUUAAUGUUCCACUGGCGUGUCCUCAGAAAGGUUUCAUUCGCUGUUGUAUGCAUUCACUGGAGAAGCUUUAAAAAAGCACAUGAAACUUGAUAGUAAUGGGACUUCAGGGGUCUUAAAUCUUUUAUUAAACUGGUCCACUCUAAGUACUUUUAGCGUAGUCUACAAAACCAUCAUUGGCCUAGAACUCCCCAAAGAAAGCCUCUAUUGAGUUUUCUUCCUGAAUUUUCCAGUGGCAGGUUCAAUGCCACAGGGCUGCACCGAGAUGUAGGUGGGAUCCUCACCUCUAAGUAAUCAGGCCACUGAGUAAGUAGGUGGCAUUAUAUUUCAGUGAAUUUGAACUAAACAGGAAAUUCACAGGAAUAAUGUUGACCCAAGCAUAAGGAAGGAGAUUGUUGAAUCUAAUAUUCUAAAAUAUAUAAUUUGUCAACAACUGAGAAUCCACAUAUCAGUCUGGAAAGAUAAGUCACAUACAGAAUAUUUUCUUUUUGUAACCUAAAUAUCUGCACUAGUUGACUAGACAAUACUGUCAGUUCCUAAUUUUAGAGGCCUUGGACUCAUUUUUACAGUAUAGGCAUAAACUAAAUAUGAGGUUCAAAACAGCUAGCUUUUUUGAGAACAUAACUAAAAGUCCCUGUCAGAAGCUGCUUGUUGUUAAUGAAAAGCCUGUUGGAAUAGAAGAAUAUAAUAAAAACCAACUGUCCUUCUCAGCUGACUUAAUUUUUGAAGAAAGCUGAAGAAACACUGACAUGUGACCUGUGGUUUGAGAGAUUCCCAAAUAAACUCCUCGAAUGUAUUUAGAUACAAACUUGACCCUAGGGAGAUUUGCAAUUUCUGUUUCAUAGAUAUGAUGGCUCAUGGAAGGAUUCAUACACAUUUUCCUUUGACUGGGACUCUGGAAGUCAGUAUGUUCCCCUGUCCUCCAUCUGCAUUAAUCAUCUCAGAGCAGCCCAAAAAGAUUCUGUAAAGAUUCCACAGAAUUUACAAUCCUACCAGCCCUUUUUUGCAAAGCCCUUUGAUACUAUUUGCAGACUUUGGGUUCAGAAUGAGAAGGCAUAGGACAUAUGGCUUCUUCCUGGAAUGUUCAUAGUUUUCCUUUUGCUGUUUAGGAAUAGGAAGCCUUUAUUAAUUUAAAGCAAAUGUCCACAAGAAGCAUAUCAUCCUCUAAGAAGUUUGGUAAUACCUAUCAAAUUUUUAAAUCAGGAGAGGAUUCUUGGAAGAUGGCAGAGGAGGAAACAUCAAUGUAAAUUUCCCUAGAUCCCUUUACAAAAAGAGUAACUAAAUAGCAAAGACCACAACUCUUGGAAAUAUAUAUGAUAAAGCUAGGUGACAGAGUAUCUCCAUAAACUUCAGAACACUAGCAACAGGGGAUGGCCACAAGACCUGCAUGCUGUUAACACCUGUGCAGGAAGAAGCAGAGGGUAAGAAUAGUGUAUCUAAAAGAUCUGGGAGCAGGUAAGCUAUGAAUAUGAUAGGUAUUCAUUGGAAGGCACAGUGGGCCGGUGUGAUAACAGUGGCUGAAUCUGGAGGAAUUUCACCCUUUUCAAUAGUGGAUGAGUGCAUGGAGUCCACAGUGAGAAGAACUGAAGGUGGUUGAAGCAAUGUAACCCCUAUGAACUCUCAAGACUGAAAAGUCAGAGCAUCUUUCCAAGGUAGGGCCCCCACACUGAGGAGAAACUUUUGAGAGUAGAACCAAAAUUGUGGUUCUACUACUUUUGGAGUCGAACCAAAAAUUGGAUUAGGAUAAUAGAGACAAAGGAAGAUAAAUUUCUGAUUUAAAAAGGGGAGAAGAACACAGCCAGACAUCUCAGAAAGCUGGCCACUGUGUUUUUGAACACCUCACAAAGGUUACAAAACAGGGACCUCUGUGAAGUUAGCUUUUCUAACUCUGAGCCAUGACUUUUUUUUUUUUAAGAGAUGGGAUCUCACUAUGUUGCCCAGGCUGGUCUUGAACUUCUGGAUUCAAGUGAUUUGAUUUUCCUGCCUUGGACUCCCAAAGUGCUGGGAUUACAGCAACUCCCAAAACACACAUGGCCCCAGAGAAUAAGAGGACCACAGCUGAGUUGCUUUUCAGACAUCAGACAGCUGUCCUUGUGGAUGAAAGAAACUCCUUUCCAACUUUGAAGAAAAUGUCCAGGGAUCGGGGAGCAGGCAUGUGAUAUUCUUCAAGGUGCCACCAGCCUUUCUCAAUAAAACAUCUCCAGUGGGAAAACAUGGAACCCAGAAAGGGCUGGUGUGGGAAAAAUAUGACAAGGAUGGCCGGCAAAGUAAACCCAUGGUGAAUUCAACCCUGAGAAAGCAGAUUUCCUGGAGUGUGCAAGCUUUGCUUAGGCUUAGUUUUAAUAAAUAAUAAAGAGACACAAUUAAACAAACUAAAGGUGAUCUUGCCCCGGAUGGCUCCUUAGGAUCUUUAGAACAUGGCAAUUCAAUUUAAACGCGGAGCCCCUACUCUGCUGGACUGACAGGAAAUUGAACUGUCCAGGUCAUGACUCCCGUGUAUGAAGUGCAGCUGUCCAGGUCACCCCUGGAACAUCUUUCACAACCUUGCUGAGGGCCCUGCUAGGAACCAGGCAUCUUAAGAAGCACUAGGUCAUCUGGAGGCCCUUCCCAUCAUUAGUUCACAUGAGCACGUCCCAGUCUGCAUGGUCUCCUUGGGGUUACCCCUCUGCUAUUAAAUAUUUUCUAGAAAAAAAAAAAAAAGACUCUUUGGCAAAGACCCAGCCUCCCUGAGGCACAUACAGCGAGGGGGUACCACCAAGAAGCAGGUGACAUCCUUGAGGCUUCUGGAUUCACAGACCUUUUUAGUUUAGGAAAAUACAGCCCUCCUCAAACCCUAUUCUUCUCUGCAGGUUUAUUUGAAAUGAAAGCCUGGAAGUCCAGCCACAAGUCUCUCCUGAGGCUGAGACACAGAGCCAGCCAGAAUGAAAAAUGGAAAGGGGAAAAUACAGAGAGAGAAAUUAAAUCAGUAUCUCAAAGGUUUUCCUCUUUUUUCUAAAAUGAAAUUCCUUUCAUUUUAGUGUUUAUUUUAGAGUUGAGGCAACUGAGACAUGGGCAUAAUGACCAAAGGCACACAACUAGUUACAAACAGUGACACAACCAGUUACUGACACCUACUAGUUACUGACAGAUACUAACAGCCAACAAUAGCUGGCUCUUUCUAUUAUACCAUGGUGCCUCUUCAUUUUUUCUGAUUUCCAACCUCUUUUCUAUUCUAAACUGCCCUUGUUGAUAGGCACUUAAGUCUCUGCACCUACAGUCUUAGACAUAUUUGGAAACUUCUCUUAAGCAUGUUGAUCCAUCCAGGGCUGAAUUAUCUGUGAUCAAAAGAAUUACUCCACCCUGGGGCAUAUCCAACAAGAUGAAAGAUUCAGAAAUAAAUUACAUUGUGCUCCAUUCUUCCUGGCUCUCAACAUCUUCCCGCAUAAGAAAUCAGUUUCCUGAGAGUCUCCAGGCUCCAAAAGGCCAUCCUAAGGGAUGAAGGCAAAGUCUCAUGGGUCCAGCCACCCACCACAGACAUCUCUAGGAUGACUUUGGGGACCUGAUUGUUCCUGUGGCAAUGAUGCAUGUGGCCUGGGAGUUUUGGGAAAGUUUUAAGUAAGCUCUGUUGCUUUGGUGUCAGCAGCCUCUACUGCUGCCUCUUGCCAGCUUUCCACUUGGUAGAAGAUGCUUCCUAAAGAUGCACUUUGUGAAGUCUCUGCAGAACCAGCAUAGACCAAGCCAAAUCAUGAUGAAAAUUCUUGUUGUCUGCUCCUUCUCCCAGUGCAGUCCUGUGUUUCCACUUGUUGGAAAUAUAUCUGCCUGUCAAUGUCUGAGAACGCCAGCACCUUUUCGAUGUUACGAACUCACAGUGCUCCUCUUCCAGAAUGCCAGCAUUCAUAAUUUUUAAGCCUCAAACUUUCAAGAAAUGGAAGCAAUUGAAUUACACUGCAUUUAAAAGUAGAAAUGGUACUAUUACAUAGCUAGAAAUUUCUGUCAGGUAUG
rnacentral:lncRNA from 10 species